rnacentral:rRNA from 1 species
AUUGAACGCUGGCGGCAGGCCUAACACAUGCAAGUCGAGCGGAUGAAGGGAGCUUGCUCCUGGAUUCAGCGGCGGACGGGUGAGUAAUGCCUAGGAAUCUGCCUGGUAGUGGGGGAUAACGUCCGGAAACGGGCGCUAAUACCGCAUACGUCCUGAGGGAGAAAGUGGGGGAUCUUCGGACCUCACGCUAUCAGAUGAGCCUAGGUCGGAUUAGCUAGUUGGUGGGGUAAAGGCCUACCAAGGCGACGAUCCGUAACUGGUCUGAGAGGAUGAUCAGUCACACUGGAACUCAGACACGGUCCAGACUCCUACGGGAGGCAGCAGUGGGGAAUAUUGGACAAUGGGCGAAAGCCUGAUCCAGCCAUGCCGCGUGUGUGAAGAAGGUCUUCGGAUUGUAAAGCACUUUAAGUUGGGAGGAAGGGCAGUAAGUUAAUACCUUGCUGUUUUGACGUUACCAACAGAAUAAGCACCGGCUAACUUCGUG